GUGACAAAAGUCACGCCGCCAGCCAGUGUCAGUGACCAAGCCCUCACGACACAGCUACGCGCCGACGCUGCGUAACAGUGCCAAACAUGUUAAGUUGGCUUCCGCCGAUCUUUCUGUCAAGGAGCUAAGGGCGAAGAUUGCUCAGACUCCCAGCUUGAAGAACUUGGAUGUUGCCGCUGUGACGGGGGGGGGGGGAUAAAAAACUGGUCCUCCACUUUACCAAUCCCUCUGAAAAAAAAAAGAGGUUUGUUGACAAUGUCAAGACCGGGCUCGCUAUCUUUGGAGUUCCAUCUGAGAAAACCGAGGAGCAGCUUGCGGCUGAUAUUAGAAACCAUCCUGCUGUCGAAAAGUUACUGAAAAGCGACGCCGAUUGCAGGCUGGUUAAACUGAUAAGAAAAGAGGGCUCAUCCUCCACCGCGAUAGUAGAGGUGAAUAAGGCUGUUGAGACUGCUCUACUCGAGCGCGGUAGGAUCACAAUAGACUACCUCUCCCUGAGACUCGCAAGGGCUAAGCGCGUCUUUCCCUGCGGUGUCUGUGGCAGCCUGAGUCACAGGACCCACACCAACGGUAAGAAGUGUACCAGGGCGGCCACUGCACUGGUGCACAUCUGCCGAGGCCCGUGACAACAAGGCUAUAUAUAAAACGACACUUGCAAGUUUAACCGCAUGAGUUUCUUUUCAACGACAAAUUAAAAUUUUUUAUUUUAAGGUGAAAUAUCGACAAUUUCUAGCCUUUUGGAUGAGGUAUGAAAGGAUGAAUUAUGAAGAGUAAUGACGAACGGAAAAAUAAAAGUGCUGAUAUGUGUUGGAGAUGUGUGCGAAAGUUUUUUUGGGGUCAUUGCGGAAACAAUCGGCAAGGGUAGGGUCAAAAGAGUCAGCAUAAGGGGCAAGGAUGUGGUAGGCCCAGGUUAGAUGUAGGAGGUGUGAGGGGUUGUUGAUGGGGAAAAGGUUACAUGUGGGUGGAGGUGAGUCGGGGGUGUAGUGUUGUUGUGGUGGUUGGCGUAGGUGGGGUGGCGUGUGAACAUAUGUAGAUGAGGUAGGGUGAAGAGGGGUGGAGGAGCUCACCCCAGGUCGACUGCCGAGGUCCUGAUCCCCGCCAAUGGUAGGGUCGAGCAGGGAGUUAAACAUGCUCGGGUGGUCGUCUUGGCAGGAGGAGUCAGUGCCGGGAGAGGAGGUGGAGGAAUCUUGGGAGGGGGGCAGAGAACCCCCUGGAGUUGAAGAGGUGUCAGAGGUGGGGGUGGCCCCCAGGGAGGGCGGUGGGAAGAGGGCGCAGGCCGGGGCGGACCCGCCGCUGGCGGUGGGAGGGCCCGCCGGCAGGUGCGCGGGGCGAGCGGCGAGCCGCCGGAUGCGUGGCGGCGGAGCCAGCACGGCGGAGGUUGGAAGCACUCCAGCCAGUGGAGGGAGGUCGAGUGGCGGCGUGCGGCCGCUCAGGAGGUCCAGCGCUCUGAUUGGACGCCUGCAGGAAAAAAAUCAGGGCGACGGACGGCAGCAGGCGGCCGCCCGGGAGGACCGAGGAAUUAAAAAAAUGAACAAACGUUCGGCAACUGAAUUUGGCCAAAAAAUCCAAGGGGCAGGACAGGGUGGAGGUGGUCCCACGGCAGGGGAACCCGCGGGGAGAAGAAGGCAGCGGACCCCGCGGAGGCAGGAGCGCAGAGGGAGGAACCGCGCGGUCGGAGUCCGCGGCGACUAUCCGACUUAGCUGGCUGGCUUUCGCUUCCGGGCUAAAUGUUCAAAUGGGCAUGGACUUCUAACCCCAACUUCUUGGCUCAUCAUGGCUGCAGACGCGAUGUCAGGUGGCAAGGGAUCCUAGGAUCUGGCGGCAGGCGAUGUCUCGCAGGGAUGGUGGAAUCGUUGGGAAAGCAUGGGGAGCAGCGCCAGGGAGCAGUGAGGCAGGAGUCUUGCAUAGGCCAGAAUCCAGUAGAAGGUGGCAGGUGGAGUUGGAGGCAGAAGGUACUUGAAGCCUAAAACGUGAGGACCUUAGACUUCAGGAUGGGGCAGCUUGAGGCUCUCGCCUCGUGCUUGUCAGGAAGGCCCUUUGGGCAGCAGUUGGCACAUUUGAGGGUGCGCUGGUCAGCAAUGGAUGGGCAGGCGCGGCCUUCGUGGCCGUCUUCACCGCAGUGGAAACACUUAGCAGACGCGGGCGCGAAUGGACUCCUCGAAGUUAAGGAUAAUGCCAUCAACCACGAUUCUUCCGCGAACGCCCAGGGCUCCAAAGGUCUUGAGGUCCACCUCGAUGAAGGCGGUGCAGGUCCCGUUUCUUGGCGCAGAACGGUGCGCCGCGCGCACCACUUUUUCUCCAGGGAGUUUGCUGACAGCAGCGGUUUGCAGGAAGGUCUCCUCGAUUGUGGAAUUGGAGGUCUCCUCAUCCACUCUGAAGAGGCAGAUUCUUGGCAGGAUCUUCUUCUGCUGGCGGACCUUCAUUCCCGUUAGCUUGCUGGCCAGGGAGGUUGUCACCUCAGGGAUGAUGUCGGGAUUGCUGGAGUGGAGGACCAGCUUCCCCUUGGUUCGCAGAGAGGCCCAAACGCCUUGGGGUAGAGUGUGGGCAGCACGGACAGCCUUGUAAAUCUCCCUUGGGUCAGCCUGUGGGUCAUCAGAGACGACCACUGUGUGGGCCGCCGAUUUUUCCCCAUGGAGGACCACUUGGGCGGCCGCAGGCUUGGGGACGCGGGAAGGCGCAGGUUUUGUGGGACCUUUCAAGUUGGAUCUUUUGGCAGGGGGGUUGGGAGCCUCAGGCUGCUUCCUCUUGGUUACAGCAGGAGUGGCGGGCUUGGUGGGGUCAGUCUGGGAGCUGGUUUCCUUUAAGCAGGGAGCAGGGCUGGUUUGGGUGCUGUGGCAGUCAGUCUGGGGCUUGUUGGCACCUUCGUCCUGCUCCUUAAAGGACGCGAGGAUGCCAGAGAGGCUCUCCACCUCAGCAAGGAAGGCUUUGAUCUGUUCAGACCGCAGCUCGAUGAAAUUUAUCGAGCCCUGAUACAGGGGGAACAGGGUGUUGGGGCCAGAGGACUGCAAGGCAUCGCGGUAGUGUUGCCUCGCCUCCUCGUUCUCCUUUUCCAGUUGAGCGAGGGUCACAAGGGGCUUCUCGGCGUUCUUCUUCUUCUUCCUAGAGGGAACCAUGGCAGGAGCAAGAGAGCAGAGAUGUGCACAGGUAGAGAGCUAGCUGGCUCGAUCUGAGAAUCCGACUUAGCAGCAAAUUGUGCUGUUUUAUAAUGCACCCCAAGUCUAAACCUGGGUAGGUGAGAGCCAAUCAAAAUGGAGAGUUGAUGGCGACCGCUUUUGAACGAAUUGCUGACAUUGGGCACACUUUUAUCUUUCUUUUUGAAAAUUAUUUUCAAUUUUUUUUUUUACCCUGUGUAUUUUGGCUUUUAAUGUGUGAAAACAAUAUAACCACAAGCUGCUCUUCAGUUUUCUCAGAAGGAAUCCCGAAUAUAGCAAGCCUCGGCUUGAAUGUAGGAUUCGUCUGGACUUUAAGUCUACCAAUGUUGGCGGACUUAACAUUGUCCACGAACCUCUUUUUUUCAGAGGAGUUGGCUAAGUGGAGGACAAGUUUCUUGUCCCCCCCCCCAGUCACAGCGGCCACAUCAACAUUCUUUAAACAGGGAGUUUGGGUGAUUUUUUUGCCCUGAUUUCACUAACAGACAGCUCCGCGUGAUUAAUGCUGUUACGCAGCAUAUGCACGUAACUUGGUCGUGUAGGUUUGGUUGGCUUAACACCAACAUUGGGUGAUGGUGCAGGUUUGGCAUUUUUAGCAGAGGCUGCGUAUUGCGCCCUAAUCUCAGCAAUUUUAAGAUCGCAACCCUUCAAUUUCUGUUUGAAAACGUCCACAACGGUGGUCUGUAGUUGGCAAAGUAGCAUGUCCAUUUUGCCGUAUGAUUUUUUAAUAGCUGAAGAACCCAGUUCCCCACCUAGACCUACACCAAUUUCAUAUUGUAGGAUCUGCCUAAAGCUUCGGGUUUCGGGACAGGAGAGGGUGGUGUUGUCAAUUAGAAGAUGGGGAGGUUUGCAGAAAAUGGGUAGAACCAGGGAACUCCAGGGAGGAGACGGCAUUGACAUCUCCAGCGAACAGAAGGCGAGGAGGAGGUGGGGAGCCGAAGAGAGUGAGGAAGGAGUCUACUAUGGGGGAAUAAGAAGCUUUGUGUGGGAAGUAAACAGAGCAGAUAGUGAGAUGGAAGCCUGGGAUGUCGAGAAUGGCGAGGGUACGAUUGGUGGUAGAAAGGCGAGGGAGGAAGACCACAGGCAGGCUCUGGUUAAGAACCACGAUGUAGGUGCUGCACUUGUUCUGUGUGAUGGGAGCGUGAAGGAAAGAGGCGGAGGGGAUUGGGAAGGGAGAGGCGAGAAGGCCUUUACGGACCGGCAGUUCUUGAAGCAGGAGGAUAUCUAUGUGAGAGGACUGCGCGGUUUCGAGAAUAGAGAGGAAGCAGGGGAGGGAACGGUUGCAAUUUAGCUGCAGGAACCUAAUCAUGGGAUUCCAUGCGUUGUGAGGAAGGCAGACUCUGCCGCCUUAAUGAUCGGGCAGGCAAGGGAAUCCGCCCGGUGUUGGUUGUUGCUGCUGCACCGGAAGCAUCUAGGGGGAGAGGAGAUUGCU